UCCCUAGAAUGAAAUGGUCUGUUUUUACCUUAUUUGGAAGGGUCAUGAAUAGUAAUGAGGAGUUCUGCUCUGAUUGGCUGUUUCACUGCGGGCUCGUCACAGUAGCUCAGAGUGACAACAAACAGGUCCAGCGUGACAAUGGAGAGAUGAGGCGUUCAACAGUACAUGUUUGAGUCCGUUUCAGAUGAAGAUGCCGAUUUUAAGGAACAACCAAAUGUUUUAAGAUUGGAAAUGAACGCUUCUGAGUGUACUUGUGGAAAUUGUGCACGCAUGGCCCUCGAGAGAGAAAAUAUAUGUUGCAGGGAAAUACCACAGGUCACAAGAAAAAUGAGAAAAGUGCCUAAUACAAUAUCCUGCAUGACAGACCAUCCUGGCCUUGAACCUGUGUGACUCAAUAUAUACUGUAUUCUUUGUAAAAUGCAAUGAAUGAAUGUAGCAAUGAAUGUAUAUAGAGCUGACCAUGGGCGUUACAGUCAGAGGGAUGGAAAGGUAAGGCCAGUUUCACACACUUGCUACAUUUUGUGUAAAUAAUUGGGCUCUGUUGCAUCCUGAUGUUUCCUGAUGCUGCUGGACAAUAUGUUGGAUUCAGACCCCGUCUUGACUGAAACGUGACACAUGCAGAGCAACAGCUUCUUCCAUGGAAGGUCUGUCAUGCUGAGAAGACCGGUCCGGAGGCACAGGAAUCUGCUGUAUGCCAUCCAGAUCUGGAAGAGGAUCACGGACAACUUCUUCAAAAACAGGAUUCAUCAAGUUGAUGACACAGCCUGUAAAGUAUAAUAAGUUAUUCAUUUAAACAUUCAUUUGUAAGUAUUGUUUAAAAUUAAUAUUUUUGGGAAAAGCUUAUAAAAUGUUGGCUCUGUUUUUACUGGUUUGACGGUGUGUCCUCCCUCUGGAAAGAGAAGCUUGUACACAGCAUUCUCACUGAAGUCAUCUUUACAAGAUACAACCUAAAGGAUAAGAAAAACAAACACAACAAUUGUUCAUAUUGUCAUAGCGAAUAAAUCAACUUUUUUAUUCAUUAAAAUUAUGAAAAUAUUAAAAAUAGCACUUAUAUACUUAUACUAAUACAAUAAAUCUGUACCAUUCUGUAAACUGUGACCUCUAACUGAAAGGCAGAACCAGUUUGCCCACACAGAAAACAAUAGUAUGCCUCCUUUCAAACAUAACUGUUUAUGUGUUGUGUUCUGACCUAUGUUCAUGUUGACACCGAGGGGACGCUGGGUCAGAAUGUGUGUGAUUGUCUUGAAUGUGGUUCAUGAUGGAGGUCCAUCUGGUUCCCUUCUCAGGUCCUGAAUCAGAGCUGCUGGCAGACCAGUACAGGUGCUGGGGGAUGCUCUUAUGCCACUUCUUCACCAAACUACAGUCCUUCUCUCUGGACAUUUUCUACAUCUUCUUUGUCAAUCCUGAUUGAGUAAAAGUUACAGGCAAAACA